rnacentral:rRNA from 1 species
UGCCAGCAGCCGCGGUAAUACGGAGGAUCCAAGCGUUAUCCGGAAUUAUUGGGUUUAAAGCGCACGUAGGCGGAUUAUUAAGUUAGAGGUGAAAUCCUACCGCUCAACGGUAGAACUGCCUUUAAAACUGGCAGACUUGAGUUAUUGUGAAGUAAUUAGAAUGUGUAGUGUAGCGGUGAAAUGCAUAGAUAUUACACAGAAUACCGAUUGCGAAAGCAGAUUACUAACAAUUAACUGACGCUGAGGGACGAAAGCGUGGGUAGCGAACAGGAUUAGAUA